GUGGGGUGAUGGCCUACCAAGGCGACGACGGGUAGCCGGCCUGAGAGGGCGACCGGCCACACUGGGACUGAGACACGGCCCAGACUCCUACGGGAGGCAGCAGUGGGGAAUAUUGCACAAUGGGCGAAAGCCUGAUGCAGCGACGCCGCGUGAGGGAUGAAGGCCUUCGGGUUGUAAACCUCUUUCAGCAGGGAAGAAGCGAAAGUGACGGUACCUGCAGAAGAAGCGCCGGCUAACUACGUGCCAGCAGCCGCGGUAAUACGUAGGGCGCAAGCGUUGUCCGGAAUUAUUGGGCGUAAAGAGCUCGUAGGCGGUUUGUCGCGUCUGCUGUGAAAACCUAAGGCUCAACCUUGGGCUUGCAGUGGGUACGGGCAGACUAGAGUGCGGUAGGGGUGACUGGAAUUCCUGGUGUAGCGGUGGAAUGCGCAGAUAUCAGGAGGAACACCGAUGGCGAAGGCAGGUCACUGGGCCGCAACUGACGCUGAGGAGCGAAAGCAUGGGGAGCGAACAGGAUUAGAUACCCUGGUAGUCCAUGCCGUAAACGUUGGGCACUAGGUGUGGGGCUCAUUCCACGAGUUCCGUGCCGCAGCAAACGCAUUAAGUG
rnacentral:rRNA from 1 species